GACGUAUUCAGAGAAUGAUAUUUUCUAUGUGGAGGACAAGAAAACAGGGGGUGCAUGGUUGUCGUCAGGAGGUGUCGUGAGAUGUUCGGUUAAGUCCCGCAAUGAGCACAACCCCUAUCAUUUGUGGCCAGCACGUGAAGAUGGGAAAUCAAGUGAGACUCCCGCGGACAACGCGGAGGAAGGCGGGGAUGACGUCAAGUCAUCAUGCCCUUUACGUCCUGGGCUACACACGUACUGCAAUGGGACACACAGAGGGAAGCGAAGGAGUGAUCUGGAGCGGACCCCAAAAAAUGUCUCCCAGUUCGGAUUGCAGGCUGCAACCCGCCGGCAUGAAGUCGGAAUCGCUAGUAAUCGCAGGUCAGCAUAUUGCGGUGAAUACGUUACCGGGCCUUGUACACACCGCCCGUCACACCACGAAAGUCAUU
rnacentral:rRNA from 1 species